rfam:Oryza glumipatula chromosome 8, whole genome shotgun sequence.
UUUCCGUGCCAACGUUUGACUGUCCGUGCAAACGUUUGACUGUCUGUCUUAUAUAAAUUUUUUUUAUAAUUAGUAUUUUCAUUAUUGUUAGAUGAUAAAACAUGAUUAAUACUUUAUGCGUGACUUAUCUUUUUAUUUUUUUCAUAUUUUUUUCAAAUAAGAUGGACGGUCUAACGUUGGACACGGAAACCAGGGUUUGCCUUUUUU